GUGAGGAAUAUUGGACAAUGGGCGCAAGCCUGAUCCAGUCAUGCCGCGUGCAGGAAGACGCAUCUAUGGUGUGUAAACUGCUUUUGUACGGGAAGAAACCCUCCCUCGUGAGGGAGCUUGACGGUACCGUAAGAAUAAGGAUCGGCUAACUCCGUGCCAGCAGCCGCGGUAAUACGGAGGAUCCAAGCGUUAUCCGGAAUCAUUGGGUUUAACGGGUCCGUAGGCGGUUUAAUAAGUCAGUGGUGAAAGCCCAUCGCUCAACGAUGGAACGGCCAUUGAUACUGUUAGACUUGAAUUACAAGGAAGUAACUAGAAUAUGUAGUGUAGCGGUGAAAUGCUUAGAUAUUACAUGGAAUACCAAUUGCGAAGGCAGGUUACUACUUGUGGAUUGACGCUGAUGGACGAAAGCGUGGGGAGCGAACAGGAUUAGAAACCCGGGUAGUCC
rnacentral:rRNA from 1 species